GGAGAGAUGGCCGAGUGGUCUAAGGCGCACGCCUGGAAAGUGUGUAUGCGGCAAAACUGCAUCGUGGGUUCGAAUCCCACUUUCUCCGCAA
rnacentral:tRNA from 1 species